CCUACGGGUGGCAGCAGUGAGGAAUAUUGGUCAAUGGACGAGAGUCUGAACCAGCCAAGUAGCGUGAAGGAUGACUGCCCUAUGGGUUGUAAACUUCUUUUAUCUGGGAAUAAAAUGUUCCACGUGUGGGAUUUUGUAUGUACCAUAUGAAUAAGGAUCGGCUAACUCCGUGCCAACAGCCGCGGUAAUACGGAGGAUCCGAGCGUUAUCCGGAUUUAUUGGGUUUAAAGGGAGCGUAGGGGGAUUGUUAAGUCAGUGGGGAAAGGUUGCGGCUCAACCGUAAAAUUGCAGUUGAAAUGGGCAGUCUUGAGUACAGUAGAGGUGGGCGGAAUUCGUGGUGUAGCGGUGAAAUGCUUAGAUAUCACGAAGAACUCCGAUUGCGAAGGCAGUUCACUGGACUGCAACUGACACUGAGGCUCGAAAGUGUGGGUAUCAAACAGGAUUAGAUACCCGAGUAGUC
rnacentral:rRNA from 1 species